AGUAAAAUGCCUGAUUAAAGGAAUAUUUUGAUAGAAUAUAUCAUACAAAUUUUUGUUUUUACUA
rnacentral:tRNA from 1 species